rnacentral:misc_RNA from 1 species
UCUGGAGGCUCAGGAAUUCUAGACUCUACGGGGACUACCAUUACAAUGAGAGAGCAGAUACAACAUUUUGCUACUAUUCGGUUAAAUAUGACUGCCAGAAUGACCUCGGAGAAAACCAACUUCUUGCUCUCUAAAUCUCUAUUCGUCAUCAGCAGUGGAGGCAAUGAUAUAUUUUCAUAUUUCUCUCGAAAUGGCUCCUUCAGUAAUAGCGAGAACCGAAAUUUUGUUGCUACUCUUAUCUCGAACUACAAGAACUAUAUAACGG